GGGGAAUUUUGGACAAUGGGCGCAAGCCUGAUCCAGCAAUGCCGCGUGCAGGACGAAGGCCUUCGGGUUGUAAACUGCUUUUGUACGGAGCGAAACGGCUCUCUCUAAUACAGGGGGCUAAUGACGGUACCGUAAGAAUAAGCACCGGCUAACUACGUGCCAGCAGCCGCGGUAAUACGUAGGGUGCGAGCGUUAAUCGGAAUUACUGGGCGUAAAGCGUGCGCAGGCGGUUUUGUAAGACAGAUGUGAAAACCCCGGGCUCAACCUGGGAACUGCAUUUGUGACUGCAAGGCUAGAGUACGGCAGAGGGGGAUGGAAUUCCGCGUGUAGCAGUGAAAUGCGUAGAUAUGCGGAGGAACACCGAUGGCGAAGGCAAUCCCCUGGGCCUGUACUGACGCUCAUGCACGAAAGCGUGGGGAGCAAAC
rnacentral:rRNA from 1 species